UACGUAGGGUGCGAGCGUUAAUCGGAAUUACUGGGCGUAAAGUGUGCGCAGGCGGCCGAGCAAGUCGAGUGUGAAAGCCCCGGGCUUAACUUGGGAAUUGCGCUCGAAACUACUUGGCUGGAGUGUGGCAGAGGAAGGUGGAAUUCCAGGUGUAGCGGUGAAAUGCGUAGAGAUCUGGAGGAACACCGAUGGCGAAGGCAGCCUUCUGGGCCAACACUGACGCUGAGGCGCGAAAGCGUGGGGAGCAAACAGG
rnacentral:rRNA from 1 species